rnacentral:tRNA from 1 species
GGGCUCGUAGCUCAGAGGUAGAGCGACGGACUUUUAAUCCGUUGGUCGCAGGUUCGACUCCUGCCGGGCUCA